rnacentral:rRNA from 1 species
CCUACGGGUGGCAGCAGUGGGGGAUAUUGCACAAUGGGGGCAACCCUGAUCCAGCGACGCCGCGUGCGUGAAGACGCGCCUCGGCGCGUAAAGCUCUGUCAGCAGGGAAGAAAAUGACGGUACCUGACGAAGAAGCCCCGUCUAACUACGUGCCAGCAGCCGCGGUAAUACGUAGGGGGCAAGCGUUAUCCGGAUUUACUGGGUGUAAAGGGGGCGUAGACGGCGGGGCAAGCCAGGAGUGAACUGCCGGGGCCCAACCCCGGGACUGCGCUGGCAACUGGGUUGCUGGAGUGCAGGAGGGGCAUGUGGAAUUCCUGGUGUAGCGGUGAAAUGCGUAGAUAUCAGGAGGAACACCGGUGGCGAAGGCGGCAUACGGGACUGCAACUGACGUUGAGGCUCGAAAGCGUGGGGAGCAAACAGGAUUAGAUACCCCAGUAGUC